rnacentral:lncRNA from 1 species
AAAAAGCUGAGAAAUAUGUUCCAAAAAAAGAAACAAGAUAAAUCUUCAGAAACAGAUUCUAAUCAAACAGAGACAUAAUUUAUCUGACAAAGAAUUCAAAUAACCCUCAUAAAGAGUCUCACUGAGAUCAGGAGAACAAUAUAUUAACAAAGUAAGAAUAUUGAUAAAGAGAAAUAUUAAAAAGUACCAAACAGAAAAUAUGGAGCUAAAGAACACAAUAACUAAACUAAAUAUUUCACUACAGGAGUUCAACAGCAAACUAGAUCAAGCAGAAGAAGGAUGGGCAAACUCAAAGACAGGUCACAAAAAAAUUAUUUAGUCAGAGGGACAAAAAGAUUCAAAAGAGUAAAGAAAGCAUAAGGGACUUAUGGGGCACCAUCCAGCAGGUCACUACAUGCAUUUUGGGAGUCCCAUACGGAGAAUAAAAUCAGCAGCAGAAAAUUUAUUCAAAGAAAUAAUGGCUGAAAACUUCCUAAAUCUGUGAAGGAGAUGAAAUACAGAUUCCAGAAACUCAAAUUUCCUAAAAUAAGAUAAACCCAAAGAAAUAUACACUAAGGGAAAUUAUAAUCAAAUUGUUAAAAGUCAAAGACAGGGAGUAUUUUGAAGGCAGCAGAGGAAAAGCAACUUAUGACAUACAGUGUAACCCUCAGAAAACUAUUAGAGGAUUUUUUAAGUGCAAUGAUAUAUUCAAAGUGCUGAAAGACAAAAAUUGCCAAUCAAGAAUACUAUACCUAAAACAACAACAAAAAUCCUAAACCUGGCAAAACUAUCCUUCAAAAAAUUAAAGAGAGAUAGGAAUUUUCUAGACAAACAAAAGCUGAGGAAGUUCAUCACAACUAGACCUGCUUUACCAGAAAUGCAAAAGAGUGUUCUUCAAUGGGAAAUAAAACAGCCCUAAAUAGCAGUACAGUAGCCUAAGAAAGUAUAAAGCUCAAUGGUAAAGGCAAUAUAUAAAUAAUAAAAAUACUAUAUUACUGUGAUUGUGAUGGUAAGUCACUUUAAAUUUUAUCAUAAAAAUUAAAAGUAUUAAUUAUAACUGAAAAUACGUUAAUGGAUACAAGUAUAAAUAGAUGUACAUUGUGACAUCAACAGCAAUAAAUGUAGAGUGGGGGAGAAGUAAAAGUGUAAUUUUUGCAUGGGAUUGAACUUGGUUGUUAUCAGUUUAAAAUAGAGUGUUAGAAAAUAUUUAUUUAGGCUGGGCGUGAGUCACCACACCUGGGCCAAAAGAUAUUUUAUGUUGGUCCUGUAGUAAUCACACACACACACACACACACACAAUACCUACAUAGGUUAUAUAAAACAAGAAAGAAAGAAACCCAGUUAUAGCAAUACAAAAUAAUCAAUGAAACACAAAGAGAGUAAGACAGAAAAAGAGGGACAAGAGAAAUACAAGACAGAAAUCAAUUAACAAAACAGCCAUAGUAUUAACAAAUUAUUUCCAAUAAAUAAUAUCUUUAAAUGUAAAUGGAUGAAAGUCCCCAUUCAAAAGGCACAAAGAGGCUAAAUAAAAUUUUUUAAAAGAUCCAUAUAUUUGCCAGUCUGUGUCUUUUAACUGGGGCAUUUGGCCCAUUUAUAUUUAAAGUUAACAUUGUUAUGUGUGAAUUUGAUCCUAUAAUUAUGAUGCUAGCUGGUUAUUUUGCCUGUUAUUUGAUGCAGUUUCUUCGUACCAUCGACGGUCUUUACAAUUUGGUAUGUUUUCACAGUGGCUUGUACCGUUCAUUCCUUUCUUUGUUUAGUGCUUCCUUCAGGAGCUCUUGUAAGGCAUGCCUGGUGGUAACAAAA